rnacentral:rRNA from 1 species
CGGGGCUAAACCAUGCACCGAAGCUGCGGCAGCGACACUGUGUGUUGUUGGGUAGGGGAGCGUUCUGUAAGCCUGUGAAGGUGUACUGUGAGGAUGCUGGAGGUAUCAGAAGUGCGAAUGCUGACAUAAGUAACGAUAAAGCGGGUGAAAAGCCCGCUCGCCGGAAGACCAAGGGUUCCUGUCCAACGUUAAUCGGGGCAGGGUGAGUCGACCCCUAAGGCGAGGCCGAAAGGCGUAGUCGAUGGGAAACAGGUUAAUAUUCCUGUACUUGGUGUUACUGCGAAGGGGGGACGGAGAAGGCUAUGUUGGCCGGGCGACGGUUGUCCCGGUUUAAGCGUGUAGGCUGGUUUUCCAGGCAAAUCCGGAAAAUCAAGGCUGAGGCGUGAUGACGAGGCACUACGGUGCUGAAGCAACAAAUGCCCUGCUUCCAGGAAAAGCCUCUAAGCAUCAGGUAACAUCAAAUCGUACCCCAAACCGACACAGGUGGUCAGGUAGAGAAUACCAAGGCGCUUGAGAGAACUCGGGUGAAGGAACUAGGCAAAAUGGUGCCGUAACUUCGGGAGAAGGCACGCUGAUAUGUAGGUGAAGUCCCUCGCGGAUGGAGCUGAAAUCAGUCGAAGAUACCAGCUGGCUGCAACUGUUUAUUAAAAACACAGCACUGUGCAAACACGAAAGUGGACGUAUACGGUGUGACGCCUGCCCGGUGCCGGAAGGUUAAUUGAUGGGGUCAGCGCAAGCGAAGCUCUUGAUCGAAGCCCCGGUAAACGGCGGCCGUAACUAUAACGGUCCUAAGGUAGCGAAAUUCCUUGUCGGGUAAGUUCCGACCUGCACGAAUGGCGUAAUGAUGGCCAGGCUGUCUCCACCCGAGACUCAGUGAAAUUGAACUCGCUGUGAAGAUGCAGUGUACCCGCGGCAAGACGGAAAGACCCCGUGAACCUUUACUAUAGCUUGACACUGAACAUUGAGCCUUGAUGUGUAGGAUAGGUGGGAGGCUUUGAAGUGUGGACGCCAGUCUGCAUGGAGCCGACCUUGAAAUACCACCCUUUAAUGUUUGAUGUUCUAACGUGGACCCGUGAUCCGGGUUGCGGACAGUGUCUGGUGGGUAGUUUGACUGGGGCGGUCUCCUCCUAAAGAGUAACGGAGGAGCACGAAGGUUGGCUAAUCCUGGUCGGACAUCAGGAGGUUAGUGCAAUGGCAUAAGCCAGCUUGACUGCGAGCGUGACGGCGCGAGCAGGUGCGAAAGCAGGUCAUAGUGAUCCGGUGGUUCUGAAUGGAAGGGCCAUCGCUCAACGGAUAAAAGGUACUCCGGGGAUAACAGGCUGAUACCGCCCAAGAGUUCAUAUCGACGGCGGUGUUUGGCACCUCGAUGUCGGCUCAUCACAUCCUGGGGCUGAAGUAGGUCCCAAGGGUAUGGCUGUUCGCCAUUUAAAGUGGUACGCGAGCUGGGUUUAGAACGUCGUGAGACAGUUCGGUCCCUAUCUGCCGUGGGCGCUGGAGAACUGAGGGGGGCUGCUCCUAGUACGAGAGGACCGGAGUGGACGCAUCACUGGUGUUCGGGUUGUCAUGCCAAUGGCACUGCCCGGUAGCUAAAUGCGGAAGAGAUAAGUGCUGAAAGCAUCUAAGCACGAAACUUGCCCCGAGAUGAGUUCUCCCUGACCCUUUAAGGGUCCUGAAGGAACGUUGAAGACGACGACGUUGAUAGGCCGGGUGUGUAAGCGCAGCGAUGCGUUGAGCUAACCGGUACUAAUGAACCGUGAGGCUUAACCUU